rnacentral:rRNA from 1 species
GUAGGUGGCAAGCGUUGUCCGGAAUUAUUGGGGCGUAAAGCGCGCGCAGGCGGUUCUUUAAGUCUGAUGUGAAAGCCCACGGGCUCAACCGUGGAGGGUCAUUGGAAACUGGAGAACUUGAGUACAGAAGAGGAAAGCGGAAUUCCACGUGUAGCGGUGAAAUGCGUAGAGAUGUGGAGGAACACCAGUGGCGAAGGCGGCUUUCUGGUCUGUAACUGACGCUGAGGCGCGAAAGCGUGGGGAGCAAACAGGAUUAGAUACCCUGGUAGUCCACGCCGUAAACGAUGAGUGCUAAGUGUUAGGGGGUUUCCGCCCCUUAGUGCUGCAGCUAACGCAUUAAGCACUCCGCCUGGGGAGUACGGCCGCAAGGCUG